AGUUCGCCCCUCCAAGCCGCCGCCGCACGAAGUUACGGGGUCUGUCAUUGCGUGUCUGAGCGGUGGUCGACGAUGGUUUGUCGGUCGUCGUUUCGUUUUCCCGCGGUUUCUCGCUCGUUUUUUCCGUUUUCCGUAACUUGAAUCUAUUGGUGCCCCUGUACUUGCUGGUGGUUGUUUCAACGGGACUCUCGGAGUCAGUGACCUCGGGUGGUGCUGUUGCCUUCGUUCGACGCAGGAACGGACGUCGCUCUCUUGCCGCCUGUUGACAAAACAAUAGAUCGCGGCCAUCUUGAAUGAAAUGAGAAAAUGUAGAGUGUACUCCAUACUUUUUGAAAUUGUAAAAUAAAACAACUGUA